CAUGCGCGCAAGGCCCAUUCAUUCAAACUGCGUAACAACAAGCCUGGUGGGGGAUGGGGAGAGUGGGGUUGCCCCGCGCCCCUGCCCUCUGGCGGCUGGUGACCUGCACUAGGGCUCCGCGGGGGCCCUCUGCCUCUCUGUCGGAUCUGAUCCCCUCCGGUUCAGGGAUCAAGCAACCUUGUUGAAAGUCUUCUGGUUCUGUCCUGAUAGAACUACUGCAACUUGUCAUUAUGUGAACUAGCUUUCCACAUGGAGCAAUAAACAUUAUCAACAGGUCUCAGUCAGUCUUGUCAGACGUUUUAACAGCCUCCUAGAUCUAUUGAGAAGAAAACUGAAUUUAGGCUUAUCUGUCUUAAAUCUUUUUAGUCUCUUCACACAACUGGAAGCUGGAUCAAUCCAUUAAGCAGACAAUACAUUCUGCCAAAAAGGUGCUACAGUUAUGUUUUUCACCCACCCGGGGCCGCUGUGAUGUCACAACAGAGCAGCUGCUCCCAGGCAGGAGCAGACCAGCUGCGGAUAGGGAAGAGAAAGAGGCUGCCUUCCUCACAGUGCCCUGCCUGUGGGACCAGACAGGAAGGAGAAGAUAGCUCAAGAUGGCCACCUAUCAGUUGCCACUUCAGAGUUGUUUUGGACAACCCCAGAACUAUUGGCUAUAACAACUCCGGCUCAGUCUCCUACCAGCCUGCUUAAAUGUUUUGACCAGGUAAAGACAAAAGCCCACCAACACUUGAAUAAGCCUAAUUCAAAACAAAGAAGAUGGAUUUACAAGCACACUCUCUUGGCGUUAUGGGGAGAAGCAGACUGAAAAAGAUAGUCAGACACAGGUAUCCAUGGGGAGCGUCUCAAGAAGAUAGGCCUCCCUGGGUUACCAUUAUGGGAAGGGAGAACGUUAUGUAAGACAGAUAUGUUCAGGCGGUUUGUUGUUUUAAAAUAAUUUGUUCUUUAAUGCUUUGUUCAGACUACUAAAUAAAAUACUCUGAUUUAAGAAGGCUGUUGAUCACUAUAUCACUGGUUACAGGUUCCUGAAAGGAAGAAAUGCAGGUCCUUCAAAAUCCAGUCAGACCCUCAAGGACACAAGCAGUUGGUAUUGUGACAAAGUCAGGCCGGAUGGCUGCAAGGGGGUCCUGGAAGGCCGAUAUAUUAGCCCUAGAAUGUUAAAGGCCCUUUUUCCUACAAGCUGAGAAGGGGUUACCUCAGGUCAAUUACAGACAGCUGAAUCCAAUUAAGGGCUGCCUGAGGCCUUUAAAAAUCCCCUCCUCUGGGGACAGCAAGGGAGAGAGAGAGAGAAAAAGAUGAGCUGCUGCCGCCAGGCUAGUGGCAACAGGGAAAUAAACUGCUCCAGGAUGAGAGACUAUGUUCCUUCCCAUAGGGGAGACAGCCAAAAGUGAGUGCCUGCUAGGGGAAGGACUGACACCCAAGGGCAACCAACAGGACGACACCUUGUCCCAGCGAGGGGGGCAGCGAAAGGUACCCUGCCCCCCUGGGGUUUUGUUGGAUGUGGGAUCACCCUCAGGCCUACCCUGAAAAUACAACCAAGGGAGCACAGAAGGGGGAAGGAAACCCUUCCUGAGUGGGGCUGAUUACCCCAGGCCCACCAUCACCUUGGGGGGAAGCACUAAGGCUGGUGAGAGAUAAGAGGUGCCUUGCCACAGUAUAUACAAGGUACAGUAGCCAGGUCUCAGUUUAAGAGGAAAAGUCUUGUGUGAUUCCACUCUGUGACAGGUAAGGAGCUAACACCUAUGGGCCUGCACUCACAAAAAACAGAAAGGAGGCAAGGUGCAGCUAGCCAUGUAACCAUGACAAACCCAUUAACAAUAAAAGGAAUAAUAUGUGCUCACUUCUUCGGAAUAGAAUGGAACCUCUUAUUUGGGGAGGAAGAAGGAUGAAAAAAGAGUACAUUUAUAAGAAAUCUUGCAAUGCAUGGUUGCUUAUAUUAUAAGUGGCUCAGCAAGACCUUUAGUUAAAUUUGCCUAAUACUUUUCAUUAUAAUAGUAAUUUGCUUUAAUUUAUUUAAAACUUGAUUAAAUUGUGGGCAUUUUUUCAGACAGUAAUUUUUUUGUGUAUGGUUCCUUAAAUUGUUUACAAUUAGCUUUGCACUGGUAUUUUUGGCCCUUCUAUGUCUCCUACUGCUCCAUAAUAAUUUCUCUGCCCAAUUGAGCAACAACAUUGAUAGAUUCCAGACAGCAUAAUCCAUGUUUUCCUCACAUGGGAGGAUGGAAACCAUUAUUCAAAGCAGGAAUUCCGAACCUGUUUUAUAUCAUAACACCAUUCCUAUAUACCUAGGACUAAGAAACAUGCAAAAGGAGAGGGUCACAACACUGAAGUUCAGUAAUCUUGAAAUACAGCAGCAAGGAUAGAGGAGUAUAAGUGAGUGGUAGACACCACUGAUUUUGUUGACAGUGUAUGCUCUCUACACACAUGUACCUCAUACAUCAUUUGAAAGCUUCUUGUGUCUAUUUUAACAAUGAAGUAUGAUGUGGAGCUAUCAAAUGGCUCCAUUACCACAGAAAAAGUGAUAAACAAUGACACCAACACAUGAAGAUGACCACCUAUUGGGUGACUAAGAACUGUUGUCAUUGAAAGAUCAUCUCAUCUUGCUAAGGACAGGGCGCUGCAAAAAACAUUUUCUGGACUGAUAGCUGCUAUGAUUUGUCCCUCCCUUGCCAAACUUAAAUUUGGUCUUACUGGUCAUCAUGUCAGCAAACGUUUUGAUGCUAGACUUCUUGACUGGGCUGAAGAAGCUGUGUCCCACCAGAAUUAAGUGCUUGUCUCAUAAAUCUCUCCAUUUGUUCACCAACAUCUGCUAUUUUCAGAAGAGACUCUUGUGCAACUUAUGUUACAUGCAGUCUAGUAGAUAUGUUAAUAAGCACCUCUGCAUGUGGUUCAGAGUCAGAUGGGUUUGUCAUAUUGUUGAUGAUCUGGCUAGUAAAAGCUGUAACAUACUCCUCAUCCCUCUUCGGUGCAGAGGCAAGUAUUUGUUUGUGGAGUUUGUCUUCACUACUUCUUGUUAACCCACCUCUUUCUCUCAUAGCUUUUGCAUAUUUGAAAUAAGAAGCUGUGUACUGUCAUCCCUAACACUAAUACUGACCUGUGCAUAAGUGUCACUGAAUUAAAAUCUACUGUUAUUGGUGCACAGCCUUCCGUGUGAGACUGAUGUGAUCAGCAAAUUUCAGUGGAAAAUAUAGAAAAACUAUUAUCACUUGAAAUGCUUUGACAAUUAGAAAUAUGCAAUGUGAAAACAUUUCAUGAUAGUAUUUUGCAAAACAUUGAUAUUUGCCAUUUUUGUCACAUGCUAAGCAACUUCAUU